rnacentral:rRNA from 1 species
ACUCCUGCGGGAGGCAGCAGUGGGGAAUAUUGGACACUGGGCGCAAGCCUGAUCCAGCCAUGCCGCGUGAGUGAUGAAGGCCCUAGGGUUGUAAAGCUCUUUCACCGGUGAAGAUAAUGACGGUAACCGGAGAAGAAGCCCCGGCUAACUUCGUGCCAGCAGCAGCGGUAAUACGAAGGGGGCUAGCGUUGUUCGGAUUUACUGGGCGUAAAGCGCACGUAGGCGGACUAUUAAGUCAGGGGUGAAAUCCCGGGGCUCAACCCCGGAACUGCCUUUGAUACUGGUAGUCUUGAGUUCGAGAGAGGUGAGUGGAAUUCCGAGUGUAGAGGUGAAAUUCGUAGAUAUUCGGAGGAACACCAGUGGCGAAGGCGGCUCACUGGCUCGAUACUGACGCUGAGGUGCGAAAGCGUGGGGAGCAAACAGGAUUAGAAACCCGGGUAGUCCCAUGAU